GUGGGGAAUUUUGGACAAUGGGGGCAACCCUGAUCCAGCCAUUCCGCGUGAGUGAAGAAGGCCUUCGGGUUGUAAAGCUCUUUCAGCAGGAACGAAACGGUGCGCUCUAACAUAGCGUGCUAAUGACGGUACCUGCAGAAGAAGCACCGGCUAACUACGUGCCAGCAGCCGCGGUAAUACGUAGGGUGCGAGCGUUAAUCGGAAUUACUGGGCGUAAAGCGUGCGCAGGCGGAUUGUUAAGCAAGACGUGAAAUCCCCGGGCUUAACCUGGGAAUGGCGUUUUGAACUGGCAGUCUAGAGUGUGUCAGAGGGGGGUGGAAUUCCACGUGUAGCAGUGAAAUGCGUAGAGAUGUGGAGGAACACCAAUGGCGAAGGCAGCCCCCUGGGAUAACACUGACGCUCAUGUACGAAAGCGUGGGUAGCAAACAGGAUUAGAAACCCCAGUAGUCC
rnacentral:rRNA from 1 species